GGGGUGGUAGCUCAGUUGGUCAGAGCAGCUCAUAGUCCGCCGGCCGCGGGUUCGAGUCCCGCCCACCCCG
rnacentral:tRNA from 1 species